rnacentral:rRNA from 1 species
ACUGAAUGAGAUUUUAACACGAAGUGAGUGGCGGACGGGUGAGUAACACGUGGGUAACCUGCCCAGAAGCAGGGGAUAACACCUGGAAACAGAUGCUAAUACCGUAUAACAGAGAAAACCGCCUGGUUUUCUUUUAAAAGAUGGCUCUGCUAUCACUUCUGGAUGGACCCGCGGCGCAUUAGCUAGUUGGUGAGGUAACGGCUCACCAAGGCGAUGAUGCGUAGCCGACCUGAGAGGGUAAUCGGCCACAUUGGGACUGAGACACGGCCCAGACUCCUACGGGAGGCAGCAGUAGGGAAUCUUCCACAAUGGACGCAAGUCUGAUGGAGCAACGCCGCGUGAGUGAAGAAGGGUUUCGGCUCGUAAAGCUCUGUUGUUAAAGAAGAACGUGGGUGAGAGUAACUGUUCACCCAGUGACGGUAUUUAACCAGAAAGCCACGGCUAACUACGUGCCAGCAGCCGCGGUAAUACGUAGGUGGCAAGCGUUAUCCGGAUUUAUUGGGCGUAAAGCGAGCGCAGGCGGUCUUUUAAGUCUAAUGUGAAAGCCUUCGGCUCAACCGAAGAAGUGCAUUGGAAACUGGGAGACUUGAGUGCAGAAGAGGACAGUGGAACUCCAUGUGUAGCGGUGAAAUGCGUAGAUAUAUGGAAGAACACCAGUGGCGAAGGCGGCUGUCUGGUCUGUAACUGACGCUGAGGCUCGAAAGCAUGGGUAGCGAACAGGAUUAGAUACCUGGUAGUCCAUGCCGUAAACGAUGAUUACUAAGUGUUGGAGGGUUUCCGCCCUUUCAGUGCUGCAGCUAACGCAUUAAGUAAUCCGCCUGGGGAGUACGACCGCAAGGUUGAAACUCAAAAGAAUUGACGGGGGCCCGCACAAGCGGUGGAGCAUGUGGUUUAAUUCGAAGCUACGCGAAGAACCUUACCAGGUCUUGACAUCUUCUGCCAACCUAAGAGAUUAGGCGUUCCCUUCGGGGACAGAAUGACAGGUGGUGCAUGGUUGUCGUCAGCUCGUGUCGUGAGAUGUUGGGUUAAGUCCCGCAACGAGCGCAACCCUUAUUACUAGUUGCCAGCAUUCAGUUGGGCACUCUAGUGAGACUGCCGGUGACAAACCGGAGGAAGGUGGGGACGACGUCAAAUCAUCAUGCCCCUUAUGACCUGGGCUACACACGUGCUACAAUGGAUGGUACAACGAGUCGCGAAACCGCGAGGUUUAGCUAAUCUCUUAAAACCAUUCUCAGUUCGGACUGUAGGCUGCAACUCGCCUACACGAAGUCGGAAUCGCUAGUAAUCGCGGAUCAGCAUGCCGCGGUGAAUACGUUCCCGGGCCUUGUACACACCGCCCGUCACACCAUGAGAGUU